rnacentral:lncRNA from 1 species
GAACACACCCUUAAAGAUAUAUAAUGCUGUGCAAUUUCAGUGUUGCUGUAGUUUUUCUAAUUCACCUCUUCAUUCAGAAUCUAAAAUAUGUACGACGCCGGAGCUUUUGUCAUUUCCGAUUAAACUUAAAAGGUAAUACUAUUCCCAUAACAGACCCGGUUUAAUUGGUGAAGAUAUACAGCCUUGCACCCAUGUCUGGGUAUCAAUAAAAUGUUGAUCAUCUGCAAAAGGAAAGCAUCUUUGACCUGCUGAAGAAUCAUGACCAUGAAGGAAAAUUGGAAAGAAACCACCUUUGAUUCAAGAUGUUUAGAGAGGGAGACUGAUGCCCUAGCAUUCGGGAGUAAAGAAAGAUACACGCUAAAUGAUUCUAAAAUGGAUGCCAAUCUUACAGAAAUAGAGGCAAAAGAUAGAGAUGACUGUUCAAACUUUAAAGUUGCGGAUGACUCUUCUAUUAAUGAUGAAAAUGGAACGAUGGCUUCUCCUUGGAAGGAAGGUCAAAAUGGACUCUCACAUCAUCAAAUCAUAGAUAAUGGAACAAUAGAUUUUCCUAGAAGGAAAGUAAAGAUGGACAAGCACAUCAUGUAAGCAGUUGGGAUAAGGAUGCAGAUUCAUUGUCUUCUGACUCGUUUGAUAUGGAGAAAGAGCAGGGAAGUCCAGAGCGUAAAAGUUUUGACACAGUAGAAGAGUUAGCAGAUUGUAAUGGAAGUGUUCCCAGAUAUUCUAAUUCUCCAUUGUUUACAGAUAAGAGUGUAUUGGAAUGUCAUCUUCCAGAGUUGGAGGUUUGCUAUAGAGAGAUUGAUUGUCAAAUUUUGAAGGAUAUCUGUGUCGAUGAAGGUAGGCCUGAGGAAGAUGCAAACGAGAUAGAAAGUUCCAUAUUUCCCCUGCCUCCUAAUGACAAUGAUGGUCUUGAGGCUAAGGAAGAUUCCUCAAUGGAUGCCGAUAGCUUUACUGCUGAUCAAUGUGGGAGCAAAGAAGAAAAUGAUGGCAAAAAACUGAUCUCUAUGGAAAAGACUGAUUCUUGCCUAGAGAACGCAGUGGAGACAAGUGAAGCAUGCUCUGAUGGAGCUGGCAGGGCUGAGACUAAUUCUUCAGAUGACUCCCUUGCAGAUAGGAAACUUCCAGACGAAGAUAUUGGUACUCUGCCUGACCAGGUUCUUGAUCAAGUAGCAGUUCUUCAAACUCCUGCUGCGUCAUCAGCUGAAGCAGGAGGCACAAGGAAAGAUGUUCAAGCUACCUGUCUAGCAUACAAUAGCAAGAUUGAAAAUGGAACCAUUAUUUUCAACUUCAGCUCCCCUGAUGGGGUGGUAGUUGGCAACGGCAUGCCUGAAGAUGUGAAGGAACAGUCUGCUGAGUCGGGGGAUGCACACAAGGAUGUAAAUGCCGAAAUUCUUCCAGCUUCCAUGGAAGCAAAAGUUCAGUGUGCAAGCAACGGAGAAGAUGAUUCCCACCAGCAAUCCCUGGUAAGCAAUGAAGGGAAUUCUGAUGGUGGGUCAACUAUAAGCGAAGGAUCCCCUGAACAUAAACAAGCAAAUUCUGAUGAUAUUUCCAUGGAUGAUAGCCCAUUUAAGUCUCCUAGCAACACGGGCCCAGUUGCCACAAAUGAUGCACAGGCUUCUCAGGCAAAUUGUCCAAACCCCGACAAAAGGGAAUCCGGAGAUGUUCCAGUUGCUAACCAGUUACAACAUGAUAUGGGCGAGACGAGCUUCUCUGCAGCUAGCAUGAUCACUUAUUCUGGGCCAAUAGCCUAUUCUGGGAGUCUCUCUCAUCGGUCUGAUGGCAGCACAACAAGCGGGAAAUCAUUUGCUUUCCCAGUAUUACAGUCCGAGUGGAAUAGCAGUCCAGUUCGAAUGGCGAAAGCGGAUAGGAGAGAUUUUAGGAAACACAAGGGCUGGAGAUCAGGUCUUCUCUGCUGUAGAUUCUAAGUGCUUCUGUGAUAGGUUAUUAGUGAACAAAUAUACGUCUGAAAAUUUCAGAAAUGGAGUAUUGUAAGUAUGUGAGUCGAUAUUUAUACGACAGGUUUUUGAUUGUCACAGCUGCUGCCAUAUGAUAUCCACUGUUACAUGCGCAGGGCUUAAACCUUUUCUUUCAUUCUUUCCCUCCUUGUUAAUUCAUGUGUUUAUAUCGUUGCAUAGUGGAAAUUAUGGUAAUGGGCCACGGGCUUUGCUAAUGAAGAAAUCUCUAAUUUACCAAGAACAAAAAGAUAAAUGCUGUAGUUUAAUUAAUUCACCUCUUCAUUCAAUAAAUUUAAUUUGUGAUGUGAUGCAGUUGAGAUCUGAGGGUAAAGAUUAUGUCGUGCAAGAAGGGGAUGUGAUGCUAUUUAGGUUUAACGUCUAAUAGGAAAUCUAAAGAUGAUCAGUACGCAGGAAUGAGGAAAUCUGGCAUGAAGGUAAUCACAAGAGUUGCCUCAAAAGUUUAUUUCUUCAUUUUUUUGGCCAUGACAUAUUUUUGUUUCUUCUGAUUUACUAUAUAUUUCUUUUAACAAUUUUACUUUCCCCGAAGAUUACUCUAUGCUAUCUGGG